UACAGAGGGGGCAAGCGUUGUUCGGAAUUACUGGGCGUAAAGGGCGCGUAGGCGGCCCGCUAAGUCGAACGUGAAAUCCCCGAGCUCAACUCGGGAACUGCGUCCGAUACUGGCGGGCUUGAAUCCGGGAGAGGGAUGCGGAAUUCCAGGUGUAGCGGUGAAAUGCGUAGAUAUCUGGAGGAACACCGGUGGCGAAGGCGGCAUCCUGGACCGGCAUUGACGUUGAGGCGCGAAAGAUAGGGGAGCAAACGGG
rnacentral:rRNA from 1 species